GCCAUUAUCACUGGGCCGCGGGCUGCGCGCCUCCCUGCUCCGGGCUGUUACCUCCCACGGCCUUGGCCACGGCGCCGUUGGGCCUCCCGCGGGCUCCCAUGGGGCUGCCGUUCUGCUCCAGCCGGGCCACCUUCACUGGGGGAGGCCCCUUGACGUCCGGGCUGCCGCUCCGCCGGUCGGGGCUGUCCCGCAGACACGGGCUCUCGCUCCGCCGCUCCAUGCUGCUCCGACUCGGAGACAAAGUUCCCACCGGCAGGUCGCAAUAAAACGCACAGGGACCUAGGGAGGGGGUGGGGGGAGGAAGGGGGAGGGAGAAAAAAGAGGGAAAACCGCUCAUACACGUGAUAGACGUUCAGGCCAGUGGCAGAGCGCUGCACCACAGCCACACAAACUUCCUCCCACGCUGCCCGAGGGGCCCGAGCCGGGAAGCCGGUCCCAACCUUACACUGGGCGGCCCCCAGGAAGCCCAGCGCCUCGGUUCGGCGACUCUGCCCAGUCGCAGCUCCCCAGAAGUCAGCCCUCGGGGUCGCGGCCGGGGUUGGCACCCAGGGGCGCCUAGAAGUGGUCCAUUCAUUGGGACGGGGUUGGCAUAAACCGUUCCUGGGUGCUACAGCCUAGCCCGUCCCGGGGUCAGGGUUGCGGAAUAAGUGAACUUCAGAAAAAGACGUUCCACCCACAUGGGAAGGGAGUUGGGGGUGUGCGCAAGUCCAUAACCGAAUUAACCACCCGGUAAAUGCGCUGUGAAUGGCCAGGCAGGAGCCAAAGGCCGGGCGAAAGAACCCCUUGAAUACCCGCUUUUUACCUAUACGGAGCAAGUCCUGAGAUAAGCACACACCUGCAUAAAAUCAACCCUAAUUCCACAUUAAUAAGCAUCCGAAAACACUUGGAGGUAUUUAUCAGAAUAACCUCCAUCACAAAGGCGGGCGCUACAAUCGUUAUUAUUUUGGAGCGUUCUUAUCUUCAUCUGAUCCCCAGUGCUUUUUUAAAGCUCUUCAAUAUAAAACACAAAAGCAAAAAGCAUUUGAAUUCUUAGUGCAAGAGCAGCCUUCAUCCGCCCCAAUUUUAACAUCGCUCCAGAAAGUUUUCCUCUGGGUCACUAGGUUGGCAGUGCGCUCCCCACGGAAGCCGCAGGUCUCGACACCCCUGGAUUGGGGGGGUGGGGGGGGGCGGGGAAGGAGGGGAAACACCUGAUGAAACGGCGCUCGCGUUGUCACUGACACCCGCAAGAAGCAAGACCCCGGCACCGUACUGCGUGCGCGCUGGGAAUCCUCGUGGGCGCUCUGGCCGCGCGAGCAGUGUCGGCGCCACGGGUCAAGGAGACAAGGUGGGGGUGGCAGGGGGAGGUGAAAGGAAGGAUGCGAGAUGAAGACACGGAGCAGGAGGGCUGAGGGCGAGGCUUCCGCCUGCAUUCCCCGACUUCGCGGUCCGAGAGGCCGAGAGCGGCGGGGAGGGGACUUCGUUGGCCCUGGGCUUCCCCGAACUCCCGAGCGCGGCGCGGGAGCCCUCGCCCUGCGUACUUACUGCUCACGGUCUGUCUGAAACUUGGCUGACUGGGGCUCUGUCCAUGGAGCAAAAGUAGAGAAUCCAGGGUGGAAAGUUUCUGGUGCUUGGCUUUGCAGUGUUCUCCUAGUCUUCCUCUUUACUCCUUCCCCUUCCCUCUUCCCCAGGUCCUAAUGUUUAAGGUCCUGGGUCAGGGUGUCUUCUUCUGGUGCGGAGAUGGUUGUUAUGAUGAUGAUGGGGGGAGGGAGGAGGGGGAGGAGGAGGAGAGGGAAAGGACUCCUCCAAAGGGACACCCGAGCGAGCGGGGGAGGGGACGGCGGAGGAGGGGGGAAGAGAAGGAGGCUGAAAGAGCCUUUUCACACCUUCGGGAAGGAGACCCGUUCUGGAGAGAAAGGGCUGAGAACCCGGAGGCGGCGGCGGCGGCGGCGAGCCGGGGCUGCUGGUUCGCAGGGCGGCUAGCUCGCGAGGAGGCGCGGCCAGAGCGGUGGGACCGGUAACACCAAGAGCCGAGAAGACGCAGGGACCCGGGACCGCGCGCGGGAGGAAACGCGGCGGCCGCCCAAGCUGUCACCUCCAGCCUCUCCCCUCUCGGCCGCCUCUGCCAGCAGCCAGAGCCGGACUCACUGACAAGCCGCAGAGAGAGACACACUGAGAGGGAGAUGAUUAUUAGUUGCGUUGAGUCAUCAGGCAAAGUGAGUCCUUUUGGGUUGUCCUCGGUUUCCGAUUUCUCCCCCUCCCCCUUUCGGUCCCCAGAUCUAGCGCCUUCAAAAUAAUAAUUUGGGGUGGGGGUAGGGGAAGUCUCUGGAUUAUUUCGGGAUGGGGGUGGGGGGGAUGGAUCUAAACCCAAGCCAGACUGGUCCACCGCAAGAAAAGAGGGGAGUGGGGGGCGGGGAGGAGGGCUGGGGAGGUUGCGGGGGGAGGGGGGCCCCGCCUGGCAGGAAAUUAAACAUCAAUCAAUCAAUCGCUGUGAGCACGGCGACCCAACGGCGGCGGGGCUGCGAAGGAGGCAGAGGGACAGGCGAGGGGCGGGUGGGAGGCAGGGAGGAGGGAAGAGGAAGGGGAGAGUCGGCGGUCGGAGCGGGGUGACGAGGACCUCAUGCACGAGGCGGCGAAGGACCGAUGGCAGAGAACCGAGUGCGGCGCGAGGCGGUGGCCGCGGCCAGCGGGUGGGUGCGUCUGGGCGCAGGCGGGCACCGGGGCCCAGGGUCUGGUCCUCCUCCUUGUGGCGGGUCCAGGGCGCGGCCGCCUCGCCCAGCCCCUAGGCGCACUCGUCCCGGCGCGGAGGCGGCGGCGACAAGGCAGUCGCUGGGUGCCGCGUCUGCCGGCGGAGACGCAGACCGACGCGCAAGAGGCGACCGCGGCUGCCUCGGCUCCCAGCUCUGUUAACUGCGCGGAGUACUUUCGACUUUGGAGAUAGGAGGGCGAUCGCCUCCCCCACCCACCGCCUCCGCCCACCACCCACCGCCUCCGCCCCUCCGAGCAACUUUUCCCGGUGCCUGCGAGCUCCCCCUCCGCGCCGAGCCGAACGUCCCGGCCCGCCGCGCUUCGUGCCGCCGCGCGCGCAGGGAAGGCCGCUUCUCCUUCAAAGCUGGCACGGCCGCGAGUCCGGAACAAUAGUCGGGGUGUCCCGAAUGCCAGGAGCACGGCCACUGCCCGCCGGGCUGUGGGUGGCACAGGAAUGGGGGUUGCGUGGUGGAUGCAGAGCGGGGUGCAUCCCUGGAUGGCAUCGCUGGAGCGCUCGCCGCUCCGGCGACAUCGCGAGCGGUGCAAACCGGGCCGCCUGGAGCCCGUGACGCGGUGGCGGCGAGGGCGGUGGGGCUGCCUGUCCUCGGGCUACAGGACUGGGGCUCCUGGGGACCCCAAGCUGCUCGAGCCCAGGGCUGCUGGCGCCAACAGAGCUGUGCCCUGAGGACCCGGCCUCCCCGCCCGGGGGGAGGCCGCACAGGAGCGUCCCCAGCAGGUCCCGCGAAGGCGUAACAGAGCCACAAACUUUUGCCGACUCCCGCGGCCGCGGCCGCCGGCAGCCCGACUCCGGCCGCGGUGCUCAUUUAAGGUGGCGCGGGCACUAGCCGAGCAGGCUGGCCUCUGGCCGCGCUUUUGUCCCUGCGAUUCCGCUUGGGCGCGCUGCCUCCUUAAGGAAAAGCACGUGGGCAGGGGCCGCAGCCCCCGCGAGAUACCCGGGGCGUCGGCGGACAUUAGCCGCUAGGACCUUAGGCGAGAAAAUGUGGACGCAUCCCCGCCGGCCCUGAGGCCAGAGAAUCCCCCCUCAACUGGUUGCACCUCAUGUCCCUCCCGCACACGUUGACUCUCCCUCCUAAUCCCCAGGACCCCGAGGGCUCUCCCACAUCUCCCGCAGCAAGAGCCACCGAUCCCCCUUAAGAAGCGUUGACUGUACGGCGGCGCCAGAGGGCCAAACUAAGUUCGGUUUCGGGAAACGCUCUCGGGAGCAGUUCUGUAAAUCCCUGCUGGGAGCAGAGACUGCGAAAAGCUGAGUCCGCCGAUCGUGCCCGGGACAAGGCUGCCUUCCACUCGCCCUCGCCGCAUCUACCUGGUAGGCGGCAUGCGCACGGGCUUAGAGGCUUGAGAGCCUCUGGAAGAGAAAGGGUCCCAGGAAGGAAACCUGCCCCCGGCCUAAGUGUCGGCGCCCAGAUCACCACGAACCCCGCACCUAGGCGCCGCCCACCAAGUUCCAAAGAAGUCCGAGGCGACCUGGGAGUCGGUCGGAUCCCAGCCGAGAAAAGAAACAAGCAGGAUAGCAAUUCUUAGGGGAGCCACCCUGGGAGUUUUAGGCAGCGUUUGCCUUUCCCUGGUUUUCUUCACCAAGCCCCAUCCUCCCCCCGCAUACCACCCCCAGUCAAAAGAGUGGGAGAAAAUGCACAGUUCGAAGUCGGUGAGAGCAAAAAUGGGUCUAGUAAAUCAACCCGUGGUGGUAGCUAAAAGGUUUGGGGCUGCAAAGAAACAAACUGUAAGUUUUGAGCAACAAACUUUUUCUUCAAUCUGUAAUAUGUCGAAAUGGGAAGGGGGUGUUGCAAAAGCCAACUACCACUGUCAAACUUAGCCCGUUUACAACAUGGGGAAAGGCGUAUUUCUUACUAAUAUCUCAACAACGAUAACAAUGCUGUAUCCUUCCUUACCUUGAUGUUGAACUGCGAAUCCUCCUCCGGAUCAAUGUCCAGGAACUUAGAAGAAUUGGUGAUAUUAGGAGUUCAGUACUUCUGGAAAAAAAUGCAAAUGGUUUAGCCAGGAUCUUUCCUGUCUGAUUCGUCACUAUUAUUAUAUCUGAUGAUGCGAAUGGUUGGAGCGAUUCAAUCCUAAGUCAUUAAUGAGCUAUUUUAUAAACACCACUGUCUGAAGAUCUUCAUUUACAUUUUGCUAAGGAUCACUUCGCUAACCUCACAGGCUUGUGUCAACAGCAUGAUUUGCAGGACUUCAGUUACACUCUUAUAAACAACACGGCUGUAUUGUUAAUCGGUUAAUAUUUUAUAAAGUGUAAAUAUUUUAUUAUGUUUUGAAGGGAACUAUUGAUUCUAAAUUAUUAAACCCCUGAGAAGGACUAUUUAAAUGAAAUAUACAAUUAAGUACAAUUAAAUGUACAUUGUGGUUAGUUUGUUUUCAGAUUCUGCACCCUUUUAAAUUCAUUGCUUUUCUCUUUACUGGAGUUUCCUCUUGUCCAUUUCUGAUACUGAAAAAAAUCUAUCAUGUUAGGAAAAAGCCUAAAUUAUUUAAAGUUGCAUUAAACUUAGAGGAAAAUGUCAAAUACGAUUAAUUAUGACCAGAAAUGUAUUUUGGAUGUUUGUAGAGUUGUAUUUCAUAUCACAUUUUACAAAUUUCUUCCGAUUUAAAGGAGAGUUCUAGGAAGUUUUGUGAUCUAUGUCCGGUGUGGGUUUUUGUCCUCUCGAGUUUUGUCUCUAAUAAAGGCCUUUUUUGUUUCAAAUUACAUACGCUUUUUACUGCACAAUUUUUGUAUUGACCUUAUUUCAACUGAAGCGAUUAUUUCCAGCAGGUUUAAUUUCGACAAUAAGAUAUAUUUUAAUAGUUUUACCUUUCGCUAGAAUUUUGUAUUGUUUAAAACAGUAAAUGAAUAAAUUUGCUGAUGAUUCAAGAAUAUUUGUUUGGUUUCGUUUUGUAUCCCUCAAAAGGUUUAUUUCCAAACUUUUUAAAACAAAAUCACGAGAAAAGAGUUGUUUUAAUUACGUUUGAUUUUUAAAAAUACUUUUAUCUAAAACCCAUUUUGUGCAUUAGGAGAUAGUUUGCUUCCAUGCUCAAAACAUGGAGUUCACAUCUGGGGGACAUUUUUAUCCCUCAGUUUCCUUCUAACUGACGUUUUUGUCGGGAAUCUGCUCAGACUUUUCCCCUUUUCUUCACCCACCUCCCAAGUUUUCCUUAUGUAAUUUAGUAAAAGGCCGCCUGUUUUUCACAAACACGGAUUUGUUAUUUUAAAAAUCAAUAGAUCUUUAUAUGCUAGUGUUAAAGGUGUAUGGUUUUUCUUAUUUCCAUCUUCUCUCCUUUUCUCUCUGUCAGGCCUUCUUUUAUGGCCUGCACUCUAAUGACGUUUCUUGAUUUCUCUUUGUCGACACCAAGUUUUUGUUGUGCGUGCUUUCGACCCUGGUCAACCUUCCUUCCUAGAGGCCCGCUCCGGACAGCGUAGGCCUGGGCGCCUGGGUGGAGGGUGCAGGGUGCCGGGCGCGGGACUUCGGCUCUCGCCUGGGCCAUCCCGGGCUCUGAGGGCCCGGCAUCCAUCCCCAAGGUCCAUGGCUUUCAAGUUCGGUCACCCAGGCAGAGAGACCCUGCCUUUUAAAGAGCCCUGGAAAGUUGCGCCGCGUUUUCCCUCAACCCUGGAACACGCAGGGAAAACUAUGGGAAUCGCCCGCGUCAAAAGCUUUCGACGGCUUCUAGGAACCCAAGCGGGCCUGCCUCUUCCCCUGGAGCUUGCCCUCCUGGGGGCGGGAGGAGGGCGGGAGGGAAUCAUUUCUUUCAAAUGAAGCCCACGCCAGCUCUGAAGCCAAUUUCCGCCGCGGACUGUCCGUGGAGAGUUGGCGACCAACACUUUCUCGGACGGCAUAACCGCGAGGGGCUUAGACUGGAAAUCAGAUGCGCCAAGAGGACAAGAGCCAGGGGCCAGAAUACCCCAGUGGGGGACGCGCCUUGGAGGACGGUUCGCCCAGGGUGGGCUUCAGCCCUUUCCCAGAGUGCUCCGGGCGUCUGGGGACUGACCGGAGCGCAGGGCGGGGGACACUUACUUCGUUAUCCGCACGCCUUCCUCGUUGGCAUCAGAGCCGGACAAAUCCCAACCCGCGCCAGGCAAAGAUAAAUGACUCCUGGCUCCCCCGGCAGCUCAGGGGGUCUGGGCGGGGGCGGAGAGGGAAGGAAGCCGUCGGCCGCCGGAGGUAGAGACUGUGGAGGUCCUCCUCCCGGCCCCAAGCGAAUGAGCCCCUGCGGCCCGAGCAGAGAGAUACGCCUCAGAGGGACGACUGAUGGGGAAGGAUGGUGGGCAACGAGUCUGCGCUAGGCGGUGAGCCUAGCACCCCAGAGGCCCGAGGGUCUGGGGCUAGUGGGGCCGACCGUUCAGGAGCCGGGUGGGCGGGAAGGGAAUUGCCAAGGUCGGCCCAGGAGCUGCCUCAGGCGAGGACGGGGAGCUUUCUGCACUGGGCUUCCCGGGGUAGGAGAUGGGCGUCGGGUGUGGGCACUGCCUGCCCUGGGGGAAGAAAGCGAGGAGAUAGGUUUCAGAGCUGGGGGAGUCGUUGGUGGGAGAUCUGGUGUCCCUUCGGCGGCCGCGGGCCGGGGGACCGGGGAAGACGGAGGGUCCUGCGGCCUGGAGCACCACCCUACCACACCAGGCAACGCCCCCCGGGGCGCCCUUCAUUCUUUUGCAGAGCCCAGAACUUAAUAGGUGGGUCCCCUUCUGCAACCACGCUGCGAGAGAAUGACUGCCCUGCUAAUCUAGUUUACUUGUAGAAAUCGACUGUAAACCGGGACAACAAGGCAAGGGUGGGGGAAGAAAAGGAAGCGCCGAAGGAGCCGCCGCUGCGUCCCCGCCCCCAGCUCGGAGCUGCCGGGGUUGGGGCCCCGGGUGGCGCUCCCGACCCGCCGCGUUUUCCUUAGGGAAACACCGAGUGAGGCAGAGGAUCUCAGGCCCAAGGUGGCUGCGAAGAGCCCCGAGGCCUCGGCUUGGCGUCAAUGUCCCGCCACCCUCGAGCCCGGGUCACUGCCCGGGUCCCGGCCCGGAGCCCCAGCGUCCUCUCCCGACAGCGCCACCGCGUGGGCUGAGGCCGAAACCUUCGGCGCCGGCUCUGCCGGUCGCGUCCCGGAGCCAACCCUUCCGCGUCGCCUGCAGUCCACGGGUUAAGGAUGUGGCGGGGGAUGGGCAGGUCCCUGGCCCAGGGUACCACCGGGCCACUCAACACAAAAACGCCCUGGCGCGUGCAAAAUACGAACGCCCACAGUUUGUCCCAACCCCUUGAAAUGAAAAGUACACCUGGAAAGCCCAAGAUAGCACCCGGUCCGCACCCCAAAUUUCAGGCAGGCCAGCAGGCGUCCAGAAAUCCGCUCCCACCCCUCGUAGGGGCAGGCAAGCUCAGGCAGCCGGGUGCAAGGGGGCCCAAACCGCAGUUGCCUCCCGAACGCUUUGAGGCUAUGGGCCCACGCCGGUCUUGAACCAAGCGGAGAGGGCGAAAAAGCCCGCUGCGGGACCCACGGUCCCAGACACCUACUGGAGCCAGGGACGAGGGGGGCAGUGUAUCCGGCGGCCCAAACUCGUAAGGAGUGGGGGCCAACUUAGAGGGCUUCCCGAGCUGGCGCCUCGCCUGUUUUCUCGGUAUCACGAAUCCCCUCGGACACCGUUUCAGUCCGUCAAGACCUUGGCCUCCGGGAAAGGCCCAAGUGACUGUGACGGCGGCGACUCGGGCUCAGUUCUCCCCCACCCCGUGGUGCCUUCCCUCCCCGCCCUACAGCCAAGCCCAGAGGAACAGGGCAUCGCCUCGCGCGGUCCCGGAGCCACAUCCGGACUUGGGAACCCCGUGUCGGGCUUAGAGGACUUCACUGGGCGGGUUGGGGUUUAUUUUCAAUAAAUUCAGCUGUUCACAUACACCCCCACCACCAUUUCCACGCGCGCGCGCGCACACACACACACACACACACAGAGGGACUUGUCAACUAUUGAGACAGCGACCCAGAAAGGUGUAAAUUCACCUGGUGCCCACCCAAUUGCAAAGCUCCCAGACCCACACAAAACACUAGCGAGCCCUGGAGGUCUGAGACGCCCCGCGCCCGACUCACGGCGCGAACACCAGCGCUCCGGCCGGGUCGCAGGGGCCGGUGCCCAGCGGGCCGGGGUCUGGCGAGCCAGGCAGCGGGCCGGCUGAGCUCCUGCGCCCCGCGGUCGCGUGGCCUACUCGCCUACUCCCUUAUUAUUGGCUGGGACCUGUUCCUUUCCAAAGUGUGAUGCCCGGUGUCCUACCCUAGGCCACGCGGAGCUCUCUCCCGGCGUGUCGGGCCCUGCGCCCCUGCCCAGUGGCUCACCUCGGCUCGCUGCGCCCGCCUUCGCCCCAAGUGCCCAGGACGGAGCGAGGGGCUGUGGGUCGGCGCAGGGACGCUGGCUGCUCACCUCCAGGAGCCGACAGAAGGUGCCUUCGGCGUCACGCGUCCAACCCUGGGGCUGAUUUAAAUAACUAAUAAGCUCAGAGAAAUUUUACGAGGGGAACUUUUCCUUUUAGUAUCAAUAAAGCCUAGUAAUUGGGUUUGUUGGUUACCUAAGCUCGAGUUCGACUUUCUCAGUCUCUCUCUCUCUCUCUCUUUCUCAUUCAGAGGCAACGUUUUCAAAAACCGGCAAUUGCGUGUGCGUUUGGGGUGUGCAAGUGUGAGUGUAGAUGUGUGAAAGUUAUUUGUUUCAGCAGUCCUUGUCUCGAGAGCAAUCAUCAUUGUAGCUUUGAGUGAAGAGUUUUCAAAGGUGAACUGUUGUUAUUUCUGUCAACAGAAAACUGUUGACAACCAUUCAAGUCUCACAAUACAAGUAUAAUAUAAGGGAGGGUGGAAUAUCUAAAGACUGUCCCGUUGGAUAUGACAGAAAGACAUCUGCAGUGUUUCCCUAAUAGUUUGCAUUUUAAUUAACUUUCAUUACAUUCUGACUUCCACUCAAUAUCCGUUGUUUUCAGUAAAGACUUCUAUAUGAUAAAACGUUGUAAUUUUUGUUCUGGUUUUCCAAUCUUCUUGAAAACCAGUUCUUAAUUGUAAGGAAUUUUUCCACCUGGGAACCAUGCCGUAAUUUAAAAAUAUAAAAGACCUUUCAUGAACAAUAACUGCAAAUAACCCAUUUGUUAGUGUCUGCGGAGUUGCUGGCACCUAUACAAAGUCUCUGAAAUAUAAAGGCAAUCUAAGAAUGUUUCUCUCCAACCAUAGUGAUAUAUACUUUUUUCGUUUUUGUUGUGUGGAAGUUAAAAACACUUUUAAAGUUACUUUUUAGAAAAGUGUUGUGCUAAAAUUUACCUGAACUUAAAUUCCUUAUCAAUGUUAGCCUAACGAAAUGAAGAGUAUUUCUGAAUCAGAUUAUUGUUAGAGUCAUAUGCUAAAUAGUAAAGGAAAAGAAAUGGGAAUUAAAGUUUGCAAACCAAGACCAGGGAAAAGUCGGCUCCAGAAGUUACCAGGAACCCACCCAAACCUGUGCACUCAUAUCUCCUGUAUUUACAUAUUAUAGACAACUUUUCCUUUCCACUUUUAGCUAGAAAAGUGGUGGGCUCCCCUUAGUUCGUCUCGUUUUAUGCUGUAAGACCCAAAGUCUGCUGAGGGCUGCCCCUGCCAGGUAACUUCCGGAGACCCGGAGUUACUUGGAGACAGACCCGGCCCUUUGCACAUUCCAAGUGAAGGACGUCUCGCGCAUUCUUCCCAGAGCUACCACACACCUAACCUCUUCUGGACACCCAACAGCUGGGGCACUGGAGCACCUGACCCUACUCAAGAUCAUCCCCCAGCCCUUGCCGGCACUUAGGGACAGCAGAAUCUGAGCUGUGGGUGUACAUACUCCCCAUUUUCUGCUUUCCCAGAGGAUCACAGACAACUUUUCUUCCCAUCUGCUCCCGCUGGACUCCUAUGAUCACCCAUCAUCCCCAGUUGUUGCUAUCUCUGAGCUCUUGGUGACCAGCCCUUGUCCCCCAAGCUGACCAAGUUGAGAGAGUACUUGUCCUCCCAGCACUGUCUCUCAGUAUCAGGAAGUUGAGAUCAGUGGCAGGGAAAGAUGGAAGGAUUGGCAAGGAAAGUGCAGGGCCAAGUAGAGUAGCUCAGAGCCUCAGCAAUGGGCACCUGUCCUCCCCCAAACAACCUGUGGUCUCUCCGGCUCCCUGCUUUUCCACCAUUGGUCCCAUCCUGGGCUACCAGCCUCCACUGAGCUGCUCUGGGAACUUAGGGUGUCUCACAUUACUUCCCUGCUAUGGCAUAUUUUGGUUUCAGUUGAGCUAUUUUCUGAAGAUGUGGAUACUCCAGUUUUAUUCUUUUUCUGUCUGUGUCUCAGUACUCUUUUCCUUUUUUAAGAAUGUUCCCCAAGCCUGGCUUUUGCCAGACCCUGUGCCAUCUCCCCAAGCUCUAUUUACAAGAACAAGAAGUGAUUUGUCUGUUUAUAGCAGGUUUAAUUAAGACAGUUAUGCGCCGUGAACUCUUUGGGCCUCAAUCAAUGCACUUAGAUUUGGAAACUCAGAUAGAAUCACAUCUUACACGUGCGGCCCCGGCUGGCCGCCCAGGCUGAGGACAGAGCUAUUGUUUUCUACAUCAGCCUCACUGGAACUGGGCAAGUCCCCUGCAGAACUGGCACCCCCUGCUCCUCCCAAGAGACCUCAAGUCAGGUCUCCCGGCCAGACUCAGGCCUUUCUAAUACAGGCGUGAAGGGCGGGACGCCCAGAGCCCUCUUGUUGGCCGGUGGCUAAGGAGCCAGGUGGAUAACUUCUGCGGAUUCGGCUUUCAGGCUGCUGGAGCUCUCCCCAGCCCGAGGCCUUAGCCCAGCGCAAUCCCUUGUCCAGACCGGCCAGUUUCCGCGUGGCGAAAAAGGGGGAGGCAAGUGUGUCUUUUCCAAGGAGCUUUUAUCCAACAGCCUCCCCUCCCCCCAACUCUCAGCCUUAGGUGCCGGGCUUCAGCCGAAGCGUUUUUCAAAUUUGUCAUCAUUGGAAACCUCGGACAAGUGGAGUGUAAAAUUUUGAGGGUUUCCAGGUAGGCUCUGACUUCAGGCAUUCAAUGAAAGGGGAAGAGGGCUGAGGGCGGGGGAGAGAGACAAGCACAGAGGGCUCCCUGUAGUCGGCAGGAAUUCCCUCCCUCUGCAGCCCAGCUGCACCCACUAGCACACACUAGUCUUGCCUUCUCCCGGCUUUGGAAGAAUCCCCACCACAUUCUUUAGCUCUCAGAAAGGAGAGGGCAGUCAGGUCAAGGUCUUUCAGCAUCCCUACCGCAAUAUACCCCUCCCAGCCCCCUCACCACCACCACGUUGGCCUAGGACACAGGACCCCGGGGCCAGGGCCUCAGUGACUGCAGCUUAUGCCACCUAAUGCAGAAUGGGGUGUCCCUGCCUCCACUGCUCCUCUCGGUCUCAGCAUCCAGGUCCUGAAACCCCUGCGAUUCUGGCCUGGGAAGCCAGACUUGCCACCAACAUCAUGGUAUCACCCAUAAUUGAUCCACUCAGUUUUCAGUAGAUGUGGAAUCCAACAAGAGUAACACCACCCUCCACGCCCCACUCUUUUUUCUUUCUUUCUUUCUUUCUUUUUCUUUCUCUCUCUCUCUCUCUUUUUUUUUUUUAAGAAUCCAAGGCACUUGAAACAUUCUGAGUGUGCCUGCAGUAGGGUCUCAGAGGAGUUGCUCUGAAAGCUGUUGAGAGCAGCCACCUUUGCUGUCACUGAGAGCUUGGCAGGGUCAGCUCUGGUGGGCCGUUUGCACCCAGGCUCUGAUGGCACCAGGAUGGCUUCCUGCAACCCGGUAGGAGGACUGGGGUGGGUGGGUCCAGUAUUUCGUUUCUUCCUCUUCCUUUUUUUUUUUUUAAUGUCCCUCUUUAUUUCUAUUGAAGACUAACCUCAGUAUCAAAGGGUGCACUUGUUUGUCCUAAAUGGCUUGUAGCUCUUUCCUACUCUGCCACAGGACAUUAGCUCUGGGAGCACCGCCUGGCAGGGCCUUCGCUUUGGGCCUAAGCAUCCAACUGAGGCCCAGCAAUUCCACCUGUGGGGAAUCUUGCAGUGAGGUAUUUGUGCAUCAGGAGUGGGGAGUGAGGGAGAGAGAGCUGGGCUGGUGCAGUAUCCACUCUCGCACCUCCUCCCUGAGCGGAGCUCCAGUAUAGACUAAGUGAAUGAAUCCAUGAAUCAGCUCCAUAGCCGAGGGGUAGAAGAAGCAGCCGUCUUCGUUAAAUGGGCUGUUGGCAGUUGCGGCUGACUGCUCUACCCCUCGCAGGCCCGCCUCUGGGCAGGCCUGAGGUGGCCCUGGAGCCCCGCCAGCAGCCCCCGCCCCUCAGGCCAAGCUCUGGCCCUGGCAAUCUCUGCACUUUGUCAUCACGCCCGAGUAUUUGACAUUCGCAAUUAUCUGCAAAUACCCUGAUCAGUUUGUAUAUGAAACACUUUUUUUCCUGCCUUAAGGUUGGAAUCUGGUAAGUUUCAGACAAGUGGUUGCAGGGGGAGAUGACCCAGGGGACCGUGCGGGACAGGGCCGGUGAACCCGAUUCCGCGAGGCGGGCGUCUCGAAGGGACUGGUCUGCGUGCCUCACCGGGUUCCCCAGCCUGGCUCCGAGGAAAGGCCGCGCGGAGGCGAGAAAGGGCCCACAUCUCGAGUCUCCAGUCUCUCCUUGAAAAGAGCACCCCCUAAUCCCGGAGGAAGGGAGGGUGAAGGAGGAGGGGAGAGCCCACUACAGGCAAGGCAGGAAGGUUAAUCAUUUUGUUAACCGGAAAGGGUGCUGCCCCGCCUGGCCGUCGUCACCGAGCGUGUCAGUCACCCGCUCUCGAUUUCGCCGCAGAAUUACCUGCUCAAAGAGCCACCCCAAGAAGCCCUCAGCUCCGAGGUCUUCCCGCCCGUCGUCUGCGGGAAGUAAACGGCGUCCUCCCUCCAAAGAAGUGGAUGCCCCUUCGACUCUCCUCCGC
rnacentral:lncRNA from 1 species